CACCUCGGCCUCCCAAAGUGCUGGGAUUACAGGCAUGAGCCACUGCGCCUGGUCGGUUACUGUUAUAUAGUUAUUCCAUUAUGGGAGUAGAUCAUGAUUUAAUUAUUCAUUCUCUGACCUAAGGAUGUUUGGAGCUGUUUUUAGGUUUUUUCUUUCACAGUGCUGCUGAGAACAUUCCGGUUCGUAACUGGACCCACAGAUGCAAUGGUGUUUAUCUAGGAGUGGAAUUGCUGGAUUAUGGAGUAAGGCUAAAUUGUUUUCCAAAGCGGCUGUACCUGCUGAUACUCCCUUUGGCAGUAUAGAAGUAUUCCUGUUGAUCCACAGCCUUCCCAGCCCAUGCUUGGUAUCUUCUUAAGUUUUGUUGAUUUAGAGGGUGGUAUCUCAUUGUGGUCCCCCUCAAUGUUCCAGUGUAUUCUUCAAAGCAGCCAUUUUUUGUCUUCGCCAAGGUUAAGAUUACUCUCUCCUCUUCAGAGUCUGUUUCCAGGCCCACCCUCUACCCUUCUUGACUAUGGCAGAAAAGGAUGCAGCCUUCCUUCUCUCUCAAGCCUGGGCUCUUUUCUCUCUAACGUAGGAGCCUACUUCUCCCCUUCCUCCCCAUCAUCUCCAGUGUCCCCAUAUUUAUGAUUUCCAGAUUUCAUAAAUGAGUAGUGUGGUAGGUAGUGUUGGUCACAUACCCAAUCUCUGGCUAUUUUCAACCUCUUCUUCCUUGCCUUCCUCUUCCUAUAGAGUCUGAAAAUGCUGGAUAGCUUCCUGGCUGCCCUUGCAACUAGACAUGGCCAUGGGACCGAGUUCUGGCCAAUGCGAUACAGGGGCAUGUUUACUGGGAGGCUUCUGAGAAAGAUUUAUCUCCCUGAAAAAAGGAAGUAGGUUCUCCCUCCUUCUGCCUGCCAUGGAUGUUUAUACAUGAGAACAUGAUGUUUGGAACUGCAGCAGCCACCUUGCAAGUCCGAGCAGUUCCUGGGGCACCUGUCAGAUGCUCACUGUGUCAUGGUGUCUGAGCCAGAUUUCCCACACAAGACCAUAAAGUUCUUUACGAUUGGAACCAUGCCUCUCCCUAUCUCAACCUUGGGGAACUGAAUGGAGAUGUUCCCUUUCCUGUCCACAAUCUGCAGGAGCUCCGGCGAAGCGCCUCACUGGCCACCAAGGUCUUUAUCCAGAGAGACUACAGCGAUGGGAC